rnacentral:lncRNA from 1 species
GAUAUAUUAUUAAUGCUGUAAAUAAUGAUGUUUAAACUACCUACAGAUGUAUAAUAUGCUUAUAUAUGAUGUUAUAACUGUGUUCCUUGAUCGCGUGAUUGCCUAUAGAAUACGUCUGUAUGGCUUUGAUCUUUCCAUUCAAAAAAGUUUACUGAACUAUGCAAAAGGAAAUGACGUUUCGUUUCAGUUGGUACGGAUUGACAAGCAAUGUGUUCCAAUGGGGAAAAAGUCAUAUCUAACAAACUGCAUUUAAUGCUAGGAAAAAGAUACAUACACAUUGCAAACCUCUUUGGUAUUGUUAAAGCAACGAACUGUAUCUGACACUUUAAACAAGUUCUCUUUCAAUUAAAACUUUUUUGUUAUUUUAGUAAAAGAAGAAGAUAAAUCAGAAAGUAUUUAAAAUUUUCUAAUUUCUUACAGUUACCUCCC